rnacentral:rRNA from 1 species
UACGUAGGGUGCGAGCGUUGUCCGGAAUUAUUGGGCGUAAAGGGCUCGUAGGCGGUUUGUCGCGUCGGGAGUGAAAACCUCGGGCUUAACUCGGGGCUUGCUUUCGAUACGGGCAGACUGGAGGUAUGCAGGGGAGAACGGAAUUCCUGGUGUAGCGGUGAAAUGCGCAGAUAUCAGGAGGAACACCGGUGGCGAAGGCGGUUCUCUGGGCAUGACCUGACGCUGAGGAGCGAAAGUGUGGGGAGCGAACAGG